GAUGAACGCUGGCGGCGUGCCUAAUACAUGCAAGUCGAGCGAACAGACGAGGAGCUUGCUCCUCUGACGUUAGCGGCGGACGGGUGAGUAACACGUGGAUAACCUACCUAUAAGACUGGGAUAACUUCGGGAAACCGGAGCUAAUACCGGAUAAUAUAUUGAACCGCAUGGUUCAAUAGUGAAAGACGGUUUUGCUGUCACUUAUAGAUGGAUCCGCGCCGCAUUAGCUAGUUGGUAAGGUAACGGCUUACCAAGGCAACGAUGCGUAGCCGACCUGAGAGGGUGAUCGGCCACACUGGAACUGAGACACGGUCCAGAGUCCUACGGGAGGCAGCAGUAGGGAAUCUUCCGCAAUGGGCGAAAGCUUGACGGAGCAACGCCGCGUGAGUGAUGAAGGUCUUCGGAUCGUAAAACUCUGUUAUUAGGGAAGAACAAAUGUGUAAGUAACUAUGCACGUCUUGACGGUACCUAAUCAGAAAGCCACGGCUAACUACGUG
rnacentral:rRNA from 1 species